UUUCAGUUUGAUUUGCCAUAUGAAGGUGGG
rnacentral:piRNA from 1 species